GAAAAGGAAGGAAAAAGAGAAGAGAAAAAGAGAGGAAAAAGGGAAAGAAAAAGAAAAGAAGAAAAGGAAGAGGAAAGGGAGGAGAAGUCGGCCAAGAGGAAGAGAAGGAAGAAAGGAGGAAGAAGAAAAGAAAGAAAGGAGAAGGAGGAAGAAGAAAGCUAAGGGUUUGAUCAACAAAUUUUUGUGACAGGUUAUUAGCAGAACCAGUCAUUUGGGAGAGUUUCUUGUGGAUUAAACAAAGAAAAGAAUGUAAUGGUGAAGUUAACUGAGGAUAUAGCUUGAAGACUCUUGAGGAUAGAAUGUAAAAGCUUCCGCAACAAAAUAGGUUUGAACCUCGAAUGUAUGAAUUUUCAAAAGUUGAAAUUUUUAAAUAAGAUACAGUGGUAUAUUGCUCAAUAUAUUGUACUGCUUGCUUGAGUCCCGGUGUAAGCCGGGCGGUGCGACCUGAAAUCGAACUCACCUGAGAGGGGGUUCGAGACCGGGCCGUGACACUGUCAACCCUUUAUCUCGAAAAAAUUUAUCUUCAAAGAAAAGAACAUCUCGAAAUUUUAUAACCACAUUGGUAGAUAGAUCCAAGAAUCGAUCAGCAGCACUAUCUUCUGCACUACCUAGGUACACACAAGUAUUUGUCCUAGGCCCCACUUUAGAUCUCCUAGGGUUUGGUAUGCGGACAUAAGCAAUACAACCCUACGUCUUAAGAAUAUCAUAUCUACAAGAAUGUUUAUGCCAUAUCUCAUACGGAGUUGAAGACAACUUAGAGUGUGGCAACCUAUUCAAGAUCUGAUUAGCAGUCAAAGCUACUUCUCUCCAAUAACAAGAAAGCAUGCCAGCUGUCAAUAACAUGGAGUUUAACAUUUCUGUUAACGUCCUGUUCUUACGUUCAGCUAUGCCAUUGGAUUGAGGUGAGUAAGGAGCAGUAGUUUCAAGGAUGAUGCCCUCUGAAGCACAAAAUUCCUUGAACCCUGUCAAAAACAUAGGAGGAGAUUGUUGGGUAUUUAAUAUAACCCAAAUAUAUGUUAUAAUAUAAGUCCAAUUGAUAAUGAACCUUUGUAAUGGGUCUGUAUAGGUAAGAGUCCAUUAACUAGUUUUAACCCUAGUGUAUUCCUAUUUAUAUGCUAGCUGGAGGCAGCAUGUUGGGUAUUCCAAACUAGAUGCCUAGGGUGUAAUGCUUCAAGAUUGUUAGGGUUUGAAGUCAAGCAAUUGAAUAUGCAAUUGUUUGAAGCAUUACACCCUAGGUAUCUAGUUUGAAAUACCUAGCAUGCUGCCUCCAGCUAGCAUAUAAAUAUAAAUACACUAGGGUUAAAACCAGUUAAUGAACUCUUACAUAUACAGGCCCAUUACAAAGAUUCAUUAUCUAUUGAGCUUAUAUUAGAACAUAUAUUUGAAUUAUAUUAAAUAUCUAACAAAAUCAAUGUUGAAGAGCCAAAGGACUUUGUUGAAGUCAAGACAAGUUUAUAGAUCGAAGAGUUUGACAAAGACCACAACGGGAAUCCUAGUGGUGAUUCAGGGAUCUGAAGUUGUGUACAGUUUUUAGAUGAUUAAAAUCAUGUAAAGAUGAAUUAGUGGCAGUAGAUUUUUUUUUUCUUUCAAACUUUGUCGUUGCCCUCUUCAGCAUUUGAAGUUUAUGUUUAGUUCUUAAUCAUGCUUCUUUGAUUAUUGGAAGGUUGAUAAGGUACAGCAUGAAGAUCAUCUAUUAAUGGUCAUG